AUGUAUUGGUUAGUUUGGUGGAAAUUGUGCACCCCAGAGAAGCAAGGUGGCAUGGGGUUUAGGCUUUUGCGAUGUUAUAAUUUGGCCAUGUUGUCUAAGAAAUGUUUAAGCCUUCUAGCAAAACCAAAUUCUCCUUAUGCCAGGAUUUUAAGAGCAAAGCAUUUUCCAAAUGGCGACUUUCUUAAUUGAAAAUUAAAUAAACGUAACUCUUUCACAUGGCAAAGCCUAGCAGGUAUUCAAACAUUUAAGAGAUCUCACAUAUGGAAAGUUGGAGAUGGUUCAAAUAUAAACAUUUGUGAUGACCCAUGGGUUCCUAGCAGCCCAACAAAAAUAAUUACAACAAGGAGAGGUAAUAUUGUUCUUACGAAUGUUUUAGAGUUGAUAGACUCAGAUACGGGAUAUUUUGGGCCUAUUGACGCUAACCGGAUUAUGAAAAUCACUCUAUCCCUUGGCAUGAUGGAGGAUUUCAUCUCUUGA
rnacentral:rRNA from 1 species